GAUGAACGCUAGCUACAGGCUUAACACAUGCAAGUCGAGGGGCAGCAUUAUCUUAGCUUGCUAAGAUAGAUGGCGACCGGCGCACGGGUGAGUAACACGUAUCCAACCUUCCGGUUACUCGGGGAUAGGCUUUCGAAAGAAAGAUUAAUACCCGAUGUUGCGUAUCUUUCUCCUGAAAGAUACGCCAAAGGAUUCCGGUAACCGAUGGGGAUGCGUUCCAUUAGGCAGUUGGCGGGGUAACGGCCCACCAAACCUUCGAUGGAUAGGGGUUCUGAGAGGAAGGUCCCCCACAUUGGAACUGAGACACGGUCCAAACUCCUACGGGAGGCAGCAGUGAGGAAUAUUGGUCAAUGGACGGAAGUCUGAACCAGCCAAGUAGCGUGAAGGAUGACUGCCCUCUGGGUUGUAAACUUCUUUUAUACGGGAAUAACAUGAGGUACGCGUACCUUAUUGCAUGUACCGUUAUGAAUAAGCAUCGGCUAACUCCGUGCCAGCAGCCGCGGUAAUACGGAGGAUGCGAGCGUUAUCCGGAUUUAUUGGGUUUAAAGGGAGCGUAGGUGGGAUAUUAAGUCAGCUGUGAAAGUUUGGGGCUCAACCUUAAAGUUGCAGUUGAUACUGGUUUCCUUGAGUACGGUACAGGUGGGCGGAAUUCGUGGUGUAGCGGUGAAAUGCUUAGAUAUCACGAAGAACUCCGAUCGCGAAGGCAGCUCACCGGGCCGGAACUGACACUGAUGCUCGAAAGUGCGGGUAUCAAACAGG
rnacentral:rRNA from 1 species